rnacentral:rRNA from 1 species
UAAUACAGAGGUGGCGAGCGUUAUUCGGAAUUAUUGGGCGUAAAGGGCGCGUAGGCGGCUUGACAAGUCCCGGGUGAAAUCCCUCGGCUCAACCGAGGAACUGCCUUGGAAACUGUCUGGCUUGAGGCCGGGAGAGGGUAGUGGAAUUCCCAGUGUAGCGGUGAAAUGCGUAGAUACUGGGAGGAACACCGGUGGCGAAGGCGGCUACCUGGACCGGUUCUGACGCUGAGGCGCGAAAGCGUGGGUAGCAAACAGGAUUAGAUACCCUGGUAGUCCACGCUGUAAACGAUGGAUGCUCGGUGCUGGGGGUAUCGACCCCUCCGGUGCCUUAGCUAACGCGUUAAGCAUCCCGCCUGGGGAGUACGGUCGCAAGGCUG